rnacentral:tRNA from 1 species
ACCCCAGUGGCUCAGUGGUUGAGCAUCUGUCUUUGGCUCAGGUCAUGAUCCUGGGGUC